rnacentral:snRNA from 1 species
UGGCUUCUCUCCAGAUAGUAUAAAUCUUUCACCUUUUACUAAAGAUCUUCAUGGAAAGGAGCAAUUUA